AAAUUCAUUGGAUUUGUAGAAAGUGGGUUAUACUUUUCCUUCUCUUUCGAAUUUAGCAAAAAAUCAUUUUCUCUCUCAGUGAAGUAAUAUGAUGGAUGCUUACUGGAGGUACUCUAGUGGUGGACAACAGGCAGCAGUGCUGCCGGCUCUUACUCCUCUCGUCGCAAAACGUCCCCGCAAUAAAUAUGUAGCUCCAAGUGGUCCUGGCUAUUAUGAAAGGGGAAUGAUGAGAGACAAAGAUUCUAUGGAAGCUUCUUAUGAGUGCUACCUCCGUAAUGGGCAAAUUUCGUCCAUGCAUAGUGAAAUUAUGGGGAUCCAACCCGGACCCGUUAGCCUUUAGAAGCAGGAAUAUUGUUGGAAUGGUAGGUGGCAGACCAGAAGCUACCCUUCCUCCGGAUGCUAGCAGUACAUUGUUUGUAGAGGGUUUGCCUGCGGAUUGUACAAGAAAAGAGGUGUCACGUAUCCUUUCCUUGUGUGGAAAUUAGCUUAUUGUUUUAUGGCCCAUUCUAGUUUUUCCCUUUACUUUAGUUUUUUCAGAUAUAUUCCGCCCUUUUGGAGGUUACAAAGAAGUUAGGCUGGUACCAAAAGGCUCGCCUCUAUAUGUAUGUGCCUUUGACUCGUGAAUUGUUGCAUGCUGAACCUCCACUGCUUGAAAGCAAUUGUCGGACACAUGUUGCUGGUGUACAUCCAUGAAAGAGAAAUUUGUUGCGAUGGUGCAGGUUAUAAAUUCGACCAUCAUGAGUAUGAUUCAGUCCACUUAAUGCUGCAAUUUGCUCGCAAUCCUUGUGUGAGGUCAGGUGGAGGGAAUCGUGGAAUAUGUUGAAACUAUUCAUAUUUACAGGACUUGCCCGUGUUUGGAGAUACACGUUAUGCCGGCUUUGGAGUUUCGUGAUUCUCUGAUCAUGUACCUGUAAUAUUAACUGGAGCUGCUGCUUACAAGUUGGAAAAGUUGGUUGUCUGAAUCGUUCAAUUUCCUUUAUAAAUUCGCUACAACUUAUGAUGAAGUAGAUAUUAUCAACUUGUGCUCUGUUGAUGAAAGAACUGGGAGGCUUUUUGAUUGUCUGAUUGCUGUCAUUUAGGU